CCCUUAGAUGUUCUGGGCCGCACGCGCGCUACACUGAUGCAUUCAACGAGUUUCUUCCUGGUCCGAGAGGAAUGGGUAACCUUUUGAAAGUGCAUCGUGAUAGGGAUAGACUAUUGCAAUUAUUGGUCUUCAACGAGGAAUUCCUAGUAGACGUAGUUCAUCAGACUGCAUCGAUUACGUCCCUGCCCUUUGUACACACCGCCCGUCGCUCCUACCGAUUGAACGUUCCGAUGAAUACCAUGGAUUGAGAGUCUGAAUGGGUUCGCCUAUUUCUGCUUCUCGAGAAGUGGAGUAAAUCUUAGCGUUUAGAGGAAGGAGAAGUCGUAACA
rnacentral:rRNA from 1 species